rnacentral:lncRNA from 1 species
UUGUGGGAACUCCCUUGUGAAGAGCUCGGUGGGAGAAGAAGGAAGAAAGGGAGCAGUCCCCUCCCCUGGUGGGGAAGAGGAGGAAUGCCCAUCUCGGUUCAUGCUGGGCCUUUUUAUAGGCUGCAGACCUCCUUCUCCUCCUUCUUAUUUUACGUCGAGAUAAGGAUAGAUUGAAGCUGGAUGAAGCUGCGAGAUCUCUGCUGGCUCUAGUCCCGAUCGCUUGAACAACUUGUGAGGAUAAUCUCAUGUUUUAUUUUGUUGUAACAGGAGAUCCGACAAAGAUGAGUUGGCUGGGAGCUUAUCCGUGGAGAUGGGAAUGAACUGGGAACGGAGACGUGAGAGGAUCUCGGCCUGCUGGGUGGAGGCAGUCGGUUGGGAACGAUCUGGGAUAUAACUUGGCUUGAUUCGUGAUGAAGAUAAGAUGGCUUGAAGGGGAGGUAAGCUGGAACUUUGAACACGGAAGGAACAAGGAUGCAGGGGAUGAGAAUUGGUUCCGAAACAGGGGAUAAACUUGUAAUCCGAGAUGCAGGGGAUUUGAUGCGGUCGUGGGAUGAAGAUAGAUCAUGAACGCAUCCGGAGGGAGGCUGGGACGGACGCGGAGGAGAUGAGGAUUUGGUCCUGAUGCUGGGAAGAAAUGAAGAGCUGUGAGCUGGGAUUUGAUCUCAUCCGAAGAGGAGUUUUGUUUUGAGGCAGGGGAUAAGGAUGCGGAAGAAGAGCUUGGACUUUAUCCGUGGGAUAAGGAUGAUCUCGGAUGCGUGGGACGUUGCUGGAUGGAAACGGAUGGGAGCAAGCUGAGAGAUGUGAUCCGGAUGUUGGGACUCUGUUCCGAAAUAAGAGAAGGCUGUGAGCUCAUCCGUAGAUAGGGGCGGGAUGAUGUGGAAGCCAAUCUUGGACGGGAGGAAAGAUACGCUCUGUUUAAAGGCAGGGGAAAACGUGUGGAUUUGG